UUAUAUAACAUACCAUAAUGCAUUAUGUAAUCAUCCUGCUAGGGAUAACCAUUCUGAUUCCUGCUUGGAUCUAUUUUAUUUAUGUGUUUUCAACUUUUUUAAGAUUAUAUUUCAAUUACAACAUUUCUCCCCUCUCUUUCCUCUCACCGAGCCCUCAGAUAUACCCUUUCCCGUAUUCCUCCAAAUCCAGGCCUCUGUUUUCAUCAAUUGUUAUGACAUGCAGGAAAAUUUUCAUCACAUAUGUUUCGUUGUAGUCAGAAUUCAUUUCUGAAUGAAGCAGCACUGGGCAUCUUAACCCACAGCCUUCAAGCUGCUAAGAGAAUUAAGUAUGAUUAAGAAUACUAUAGUGGGCUGAAUUUAUGUAAAAUUAGGUAACAAUAAAAAAAUACGUGCAGCAGUGAAAAUCUCAAGGGAUGAGUUAUUGGGGAACUGGAGAAGAAAUUUUUACCUUCUUGAAUACUUAUUGAUUAUUUUUUUUUCUGUAAAAACAUACUAUAUUUAGAUUUAAAGUCCCUACUAAUGUUAUACAAGUAAUUCUCUUUUAGAGUAAUUUUUUAAUAAAAUGUACUAUUAUUCAUUCCAGGAAUGAUAGGUUCUGGUCUAAUUAGGUUGGCCUCUUACCUCUCUGCCAAUGGAAGCAAGAAAUGGCCCAGUAAACAUAAAUGAGGACGCUGUCAAAGAUCCUGAACAUAGAUACCUCUAGUUGCAAGCUAUUAACUUGUUUUGAUUUCAGUGGGAAACCACUGCCAUGUGCACUGCACGCUAAUGACAAGCUGGAUGUUUACACGAGAGCCUGUAUGUUCUCACACUGCUUUCUGAAACAAGUAAUAAUCAGCCUGUCAUCAAUGUCAUACUGCAAUCAGGCUUUGACAAGGUUGGCAAAUAACUUGAAAGGAACUACUCAUUCCUGAACACAGCAGAUCAAAACCAGACCUGAACAAAAACUCCAAAUCUGCUAAAUGUCAGCUGUGGAGGCUUAAGGACAUGGUAUGCAAAGGCAGAAGCAACAGCAGAGAGAACAGCCAAACCCUACCUUCCCCUCCCACAGUUAACUAGUUAACUCUCUCUCUCUCUCCUCUCUCUCUCUCUCUCUCUCUCUCUCUCUCUCUCUCUCUCUCUCUCUCUCUCUCUCUCUCUCACACACACACACACACACACACACACACACAGGUUUUCUCAGCUACCAAUCUAUCAAUGAAAAACAAUGAUCAGAUACCUGAAAUGCCCCUGAUUGGCAGCACUACCUGUGCUAUGCCUGAAAAUCAUAGGAAGCACAAAGCACAUGCCCAUUCUUCCUGGAGUUUGUUCUCUCCGCCCACAGGCUGGGACAGGCAGGGUCUCUAACCUAUUCAAGUAUGUUCAUUAUGGAGGAGGUUGUGGACACAAGGCAUUUUUUUCUUUCCUCCUCUUCUCAGUCCUUCUGACUAUAAAAAGGAAACACUAUUUGUGGCACAUGCUAAUCUGUAGAUAUUACCAACUUUAAGAAACCAGUUAAAGAUAUAUCUAAUACUUUGAGAAGAAGGUUGUUUAGAAGAAAAUGUUUGUUUUUAAUAUCAAAUGUUAACAAUUUCACUCCAAGUAUCAGUUUACUUUUGAAGUUUAUGUUUUCAUAAACAUCGGGAUAGUUUUUACACAUAUAGACUUCAAUAUUCAUGACAUAUGCCUAAGACUCAAGCCAGACAGAAUGCUAGCAUGGAGAAAGGAGGUGAACACUGAAUCCCAUCCCUACCAGAGAAGCUAUUGGCAACUGAUAGAUGCUGGGAGAAGAACAGGCAAUUUUCUUUAAGAAUAUAUUCCCUGGGGUAUCAACCAUGCUCCAGUGGAAGGCCACAUAUCCAAAUAUUGGACUUGAUAUGUAAAAAAGAUAAAGAAGACGCAAAGAUGGAUGGACAAAGAAGGGGAGGUGGCAUGGACAUGGGAGGAGUUGGAAGAUGGAGUGAAUAUGAUCAAAACACAUUGUAUGUUUAUUAUAUGUGUAUUGUAUGAAAUAUUACUUCAUGCAUAGGACAUGAAAACAAAUUUAACUACAGAUUUUGUUCACUGUUGAUUUCGUCUUAGCAUAGAAUAAUUUAAUUCAUAACUAUUGUAGUGAGCUUUAGAAAGAACCCUGACCAUCAGUUGUUCAGAGGCAUAACUCAUUCAAAGUAAAUAUGUCAACAAAAGUAACAACAAUCCUAUCAUCAGCGUAAAGUCCACAUUCCAAAAAUAAAGAAGAUAUAAAACACAUUGAACAACCCCUUUUGUGUCAGUGUAACUAUUUGAAACUGUGGUCCACAUAAUAUUAAAAUAAAUAUUCGAUAAAAAAUCA